GCCCACAUAGCUCAGUCGGUAGAGCACUUCCUUGGUAAGGAAGAGGUCACCGGUUCGAAUCCGGUCGUGGGCCCCA
rnacentral:tRNA from 1 species